rnacentral:rRNA from 1 species
UACGUAGGGGGCUAGCGUUGUCCGGAAUCAUUGGGCGUAAAGAGCGCGUAGGCGGCCAGAUAAGUCCGGUGUGAAAGCCAAAGGCUCAACCUUUGAAUGCCGCUGGAAACUGUCUGGCUAGAGUCCGGGAGGGGCGAGUGGAAUUCCUGGUGUAGCGGUGAAAUGCGCAGAUAUCAGGAGGAACACCAAUGGCGAAGGCAGCUCGCUGGAACGGUACUGACGCUGAGGCGCGAAAGCGUGGGGAGCGAACAGG